rnacentral:tRNA from 2 species
GCGCUUUUAGCUCAAUUGGAUAGAGCAUGAGACUUCUAAUCCCAAGGUUAUAGGUUCAAGUCCUAUAAAGCGCA